CUAAACUGGCAUCCUCUGCAAAGGCCCCAAGGCCUCGUAACUGUCUUUCUGCCUCCUAGAAUCUCACCCUGCGGUCCUGCGUCAUCAGGAGUUUCUCUAGUUUACUGCCUCUUUUGCUUCUUUAUAUGUUUGCUUCUUUACUCAAACCCAGGACCCUGAGUGCGCUAAGCAGCGGCCCCACCACUGAGCAACCUCCCCAACCCCAGAUCUUUGUUUACAGUUACAAGAACUCAAUUCUUAGAUUUAUCAGUUGUGAUAUUUUUUUAGCUUCAAAUGUUCACUUGGUUUUUUUUUUUUUUCAAUCUUUUGCUAAAAUUCCUUUUCAAGAACUUCUUUGUGAAAAUUUCUAAUAAUUGGGCAUAACAUUUCCAUUUUUCUUCUUUCCUUCUCAUGAGACAGUUUAGCAGUUUGACAAGGACGUCAGUGCCAGGAACAAAUCAGCAUGGACCAUACCUUUACCUAGGGUUUCUCAAGGCUGGGACACAACUCAGAGGUCUAAAGAAUGAACUGGGGAGCUGGCGUACGUGUUUGCCGAAGAGUGUUGGCUUAGCAUGUACAAUACACUUGGAUCAACACCAAACACAGGCAGAAAUGACUGAACUAGCUGUCCUCUUUUCCAGCCCAAAAAUGCACAGUGAAACGGGUAAUCAUGGCAUCUGUGGAUUUCUUUGGUCAGUGCUGAUGGUUUAACAUGCA
rnacentral:lncRNA from 1 species